rnacentral:rRNA from 1 species
AGAGUUUGAUCCUGGCUCAGAUUGAACGCUGGUGGCGUGCCUAACACAUGCAAGUCGAGCGGUAACAGGUGUAGCAAUACAUGCUGACGAGCGGCGAACGGGUGAGUAAUGCAUUGGAAUCUUCCCAGUAGUGGGGAAUAACCAGUCGAAAGAUUGGCUAAUACCGCAUACGUCUGUAAAGGGAAAGCGGGGGCUCGUAAGACCUCGCGCUAUUGGAUGAGCCAAUGUCGGAUUAGCUAGUUGGUGGGGUAAUGGCCUACCAAGGCGACAAUCCGUAGCUGGUCUGAGAGGACGACCAGCCACACCGGAACUGAGACACGGUCCGGACUCCUACGGGAGGCAGCAGUGGGGAAUAUUGGACAAUGGGGGAAACCCUGAUCCAGCGACGCCGCGUGUGUGAAGAAGGCCUGCGGGUUGUAAAGCACUUUUAGUGGGGACAAAAAGCUACGGACUAAUAUUCUGUGGUCUUGAUUUAACCCAAAGAAAAAGCACCGGCUAACUCUGUGCCAGCAGCCGCGGUAAUACAGAGGGUGCGAGCGUUAAUCGGAAUUACUGGGCGUAAAGCGCGCGUAGACGGUUUUGUAAGUCAGAUGUGAAAUCCCUGGGCUCAACCUGGGAACUGCAUUUGAUACUGCAUGGCUAGAGUAUCGAAGAGGGAAGUGGAAUUUCCGGUGUAGCGGUGAAAUGCGUAGAUAUCGGAAGGAACACCAGUGGCGAAAGCGACUUCCUGGUCGAAUACUGACGUUCAUGUGCGAAAGCGUGGGGAGCAAACAGGAUUAGAUACCCUAGUAGUCC